rnacentral:rRNA from 1 species
GAGAGUUAAAUAGUACGUGAAAUUGUUGAAAGGGAAACGAUUGAAGUCAGUCAUGCUAGUGAAAAAUCAGUUUGACGGGUUUUGAGUUCGGGAGUAGAGGCAGGGUCAAACCGUUUCUCUUUUGGACUUGGGAUUUGUCGGAUGUACUUUUUCUUUGGCAGGUCAGCGUCGGUUUCGGAGGUUGUAAAAUACUUGGGGGAAAGUAGCUCUGCUUCGGGAGAGUAUUAUAGACCCUGGGGGAUGCAUCCUGUGGGAUCGAGGAUUGCAGCAAAUGCCUUUGGCUUGUCGCCUGAUCUCUGGAUGUUACCUUGCUUGUGACAACAUUCUUGCCACCGGUGAGUACUGAUGCCCAUUAGGUUAGAACGAUCAAAAAUUUGCUAAGGAUGCUGACGUAAUGGCUUUAAACGA